ACAGGGAGGUAGUGACAAUAAAUAACAAUGCCGGGCUUUUUUCAAGUCUGGCAAUUGGAAUGAGAACAAUUUAAAUCCCUUAACGAGUAUCAAUUGGAGGGCAAGUCUGGUGCCCAGCAGCCGCGGUAAUUCCGGCUCCAAUAGCGUAUAUUAAAGUNGUUGCAGUUAAGAAGCUCGUAGUUGGAUUUCUGGUAGGAGCGGCCGGUCCGCCCCGUAAUGGGGUGUGCACUAGAGCCGCCUCCGGCCAUCCUUGGGGGAACUGCCAUGGCCUCAAUUGGUUGUGGUAUGGAACCCAUCGUUUACUGUGAAAAAAUUAGAGUGUUUAAAGCAGGCUUAGGCCGUUGAAUACAUUAGCAUGGAAUAAUAAGAUAGGACCUUAUGGACCUCUUGUUGGUUUGCGCCGUAAGGUAAUGAUUAAUAGGGAUAGUUGGGGGUAUUCGUAUUUAAUUGUCAGAGGUGAAAUUCUUGGAUUUAUGAAAGACGAACUUCUGCGAAAGCAUUUACCAAGGAUGUUUUCAUUAAUCAAGAACGAAAGUUAGGGGAUCGAAGAUGAUUAGAUACCAUCGUAGUCUUAACCAUAAACUAUGCCGACUAGGGAUUGGCGGUCGUUAAUUUUAUGACUCCGUCAGCACCUUAUGAGAAAUCAAAGUCUUUGGGUUCCGGGGGGGGUAUGGUCGCAAGGCUGAAACUUAAAGGAAUUGACGGAAGGGCACC
rnacentral:rRNA from 1 species